AAAUGGAAGAUUAUUAAAUUGAACAGCCGUAAUUUGGGCAGUGUUAGCGUAUGCUAAUUAUUCGAAAAUAAUACCUUUUUUCUUUUUUCUUAUAAAGUAAAUUAUUUAUUUUUGAACGAAAUGUGAUUUAUUAAAUAGAUACCUACCUACCUAAAUACAUUAUAAUUAAUUAAAAUUAUAGAUUUGUCUAUUAAUGUUUAAUAUUUUUGUCAUGU